GUCUUUCUGCUAUGAUAGAAAGUCUGGCCUGCCCACUGAUGUGUUGAAUGGCUGCAGUAUUUUGACUGUACAAAGGUAGCAUAAUCAUUAGUUUUUUAAUUGGAAGCUGGAAUGAAGGGUUGGAUGAGAAAAUAACUGUCUCUUUUUUAUUUAUUGAAUUUUAUUUUUGAGUAAGAAAGCUUAAGUGUUAAUAAAAGACGAGAAGACCCUAUAGAGUUUUAUAUUAUUGAAUUUUUAAUUUUUUAGUAUUGUGUAGUUUUUUAUUUAUUUAAUAUUUGGUUGGGGUGAUUGUAUAAUUUAAUUAACUUAUAUUUUUAGUAACAUAGAUUUAUGAGUAUUUGAUCCAAUAUUUUUGAUUAUAAGAUUAAAUUACCUUAGGGAUAACAGCGUGAUUUUUCUUGAGAGUUCUUAUUUAUAGGAGAGUUUGCGACCUCGAUGUUGGAUUAAAAUUUAUUUUUGGUGCAGAAGCUUUAAUAUUAGGUCUGUUCGACCUUUAAAAUUUUACA
rnacentral:rRNA from 1 species